CCGUUUGAUCAUCUCUCACGCGCAAGAUGACUAUCCUGAGAGGUUUGAAUCCCAAAGAAGAGGUGUAAAAGGACUACAUCAAAUGAAUGAGGAUAAUUGAGUCGAUGUUACGAUGUCAGCUUUGCGAUGUAUUCUAAUAUUUCUAAUCCCACUUGCUUUGUCAUCGAUUAGUGGAGCUGUGUGCUCUCUGGAUCAUGUACCAACUUCCUUAUGCCAUUGCUCUCUGACCGACCACCGAA